AUUGAACGCUGGCGGCAGGCUUAACACAUGCAAGUCGAGCGGAGUGAUGGUGCUUGCACUAUCACUUAGCGGCGGACGGGUGAGUAAUGCUUAGGAAUCUGCCUAUUAGUGGGGGACAACAUCUCGAAAGGGAUGCUAAUACCGCAUACGUCCUACGGGAGAAAGCAGGGGAUCACUUGUGACCUUGCGCUAAUAGAUGAGCCUAAGUCGGAUUAGCUAGUUGGUGGGGUAAAGGCCUACCAAAGCGACGAUCUGUAGCGGGUCUGAGAGGAUGAUCCGCCACACUGGGACUGAGACACGGCCCAGACUCCUACGGGAGGCAGCAGUGGGGAAUAUUGGACAAUGGGGGGAACCCUGAUCCAGCCAUGCCGCGUGUGUGAAGAAGGCCUUAUGGUUGUAAAGCACUUUAAGCGAGGAGGAGGCUCUUCUGGUUAAUACCCAGGAUGAGUGGACGUUACUCGCAGAAUAAGCACCGGCUAACUCUGUGCCAGCAGCCGCCGUAA
rnacentral:rRNA from 1 species